UCUGUUCUGUCUGGCAGAGCCCAGCAGCGUCCUGUUCAUGAGAGCGUUCUAUGUUCCCUGUCUCACUUCCAUAUUACCCAAGUCUGCUUUGUGGGGACCCCAACCUGCCACACUCCAUCAGUAUGGUUCCCGGGGCUGAGAAGAGCAGGAGCCUGCCCUGGUGGUGGACCUGGUGAACGUGGACUCCCUUCAGGUUCUGACAUCAGCUGGUAUUGUGCUGCAUGACAACGCGCCAUCAAUAAGAAACAUUUCACAAACGUUGCUGUAAUAGCUGCUGCUUUUACAAAGACAAACUAAUCUCCUACUCUUUUUCUCCUCCAGUACCUACUAAGUUGGCAUCCAUCAAAAAUUACUUCUGAUAGCACGCACAUUAUCACCCUUAAAAGGGUGGCAUUAAUAGACGUGUAACGGGGGUUGAUGUCCUGCUGCCAUCUAGACUGGUCAUAUGGAACCUUGAAGGGCAGCAGAAUAUGUCAGUUUGGCGCAAGGAUUCUUUUGAGCUGAAGCAAUUGAGAAGCAGCAGAUAUAAGAAAAGCUCUCUCCUCCUCCUGUUUGCCUAAAAGCAGGACAUGAAUCUAUAAAGGUGCCCCUCCUCCCCUCUCUACCUGGGAAGACAGAAGUUAGUCAUAGAGACAGCUCGAGACUCCUGUCAACCCAGAGACCAGCACCAAAGGAAUCUAAAUAACUUUGCUAAAAUUAGCCCUUAGGUACCAUUAGUUUUCCCAUAUAUUUGCCUUCCCACAAUUUGCCACAUUAGGCACUCAACGUUCUUUUCCUUUGUCUUGUCACUUCUCUAAAACUUCAUUGUUCUGUUGUUAAGAGGCUGAGUUCUAACCACUCCUCUGAUUUACUCUUCACUGAGCACUCCCAUGAAUAGGUACAAAGCGCAUGUUAACAAACUGUUGUUUGCU